rnacentral:rRNA from 2 species
CGGGGUUGCGGACAGUGUCUGGUGGGUAGUUUGACUGGGGCGGUCUCCUCCCAAAGCGUAACGGAGGAGCACGAAGGUUAGCUAAUCCUGGUCGGACAUCAGGAGGUUAGUGCAAUGGCAUAAGCUAGCUUGACUGCGAGCGUGACGGCGCGAGCAGGUGCGAAAGCAGGUCAUAGUGAUCCGGUGGUUCUGAAUGGAAGGGCCAUCGCUCAACGGAUAAAAGGUACUCCGGGGAUAACAGGCUGAUACCGCCCAAGAGUUCAUAUCGACGGCGGUGUUUGGCACCUCGAUGUCGGCUCAUCACAUCCUGGGGCUGAAGUAGGUCCCAAGGGUAUGGCUGUUCGCCAUUUAAAGUGGUACGCGAGCUGGGUUUAGAACGUCGUGAGACAGUUCGGUCCCUAUCUGCCGUGGGCGCUGGAGAAUUGAGGGGGGCUGCUCCUAGUACGAGAGGACCGGAGUGGACGCAUCACUGGUGUUCGGGUUGUCAUGCCAAUGGCACUGCCCGGUAGCUAAAUGCGGAAGAGAUAAGUGCUGAAAGCAUCUAAGCACGAAACUUGCCCCGAGAUGAGUUCUCCCUGAGACUAUAAGUCUCCUGAAGGAACGUUGAAGACGACGACGUUGAUAGGCCGGGUGUGUAAGCGCAGCGAUGCGUUGAGCUAACCGGUACUAAUGAACCGUGAGGCUUAACCUUACAACGCCGAAG